UAAUGGGCCCAGGGACUGGACCUCAUCAUUACAGAGGUACAUAAUGGGUCCAGGGACUGUACCUCAACAUUACAGAGGUACAUAAUGGGUCCAGGGACUGUACCUCAAAGUUUUGAUAACUCAAGAAGUUACAAAAGUACUGAAGUAUUUACACGUUUAUAUCUGGUCACAAUCAUGAACAAGUUGGUAGGUAAGACACACAGGCAACAAUUAGGCAACUUUAUUCCGAAACGUUUCGCCUACACAGUAGGCUUCUUCAGUCGAAUACAGAAAGUAGGCAGGAACAGUAGAGAUGUGAAGACGAUGUAAUCAGUCCAUCAGCCUUGAAGAAGCCUACUGUGUAGGCGAAACGUUUCCGAAUAUAGUUGCCUAACUGUUGCUUAUGUGUCUUACCUACCAACCUGUCGGUAUUGUAUACCAUUUUGAUGUUCGUGAACAAGUUACAAAGGUACUUAUGGGACUUGAUAAGCUGAUAAGUCACUAGUAAACUAAACGUUUACAUUAUCUUACUUACACUUCAUUGUCUGAUUUACACACUGUAUAUGCAUGAAUGAUUUACACUGUAUAUGCAUGAAUGAAUUAGACACAUGUGCAACAUCUGGGUAUCUUUAUUUGCAGACGUUUAACCAUCCAGUGGCUUUAUCAAUACAAGAACUUAAUGUGAAGUCUGUAGAAUUGUAUACAAAAGAAGAGCACGUGAUCUUGAAGAUUCUGGAGCACAGGACCGGGAGAUUGGUGCUUAUUUAUUGGUGUCAGGUGAGGGACGUACAGCAGACCAGGUAACAAUACCUUUGGUGCUUAUUUAUUGGUGUCAGGUGAGGGACGUACAGCAGACCAGGUAACAAUACCUUUGGUGCUUAUAUAUUGGUGUCAGGUGAGGGACGUACAGCAGACCAGGUAACAAUACCUUUGGUGCUUAUAUAUUGGUGUCAGGUGAGGGACGUACAGCAGACCAGGUAACAAUACCUUUGGUGCUUAUAUAUUGGUGUCAGGUGAGGGACGUACAGCAGACCAGGUAACAAUACCUUUGGUGUUUAUAUAUUGGUGUCAGGUGAGGGACGUACAGCAGACUAAGUAACAAUACCUUCAGCUGGUACACGUCCCUCACCUGACGCCAGUAUAUAAGCACCAGUCUUCCUGUCUGUGCUUCACAGUCUCCAAGACUACGGUGAUCUACACAACUCCAUGACUGUGGGACAGAUUACCUCAUGUUUUGUAUGUAUUUCUACAGUCUUCACAUUAUGUCCUUGUAUGUAUUGAUAAAGCCACUGGUUGGUGUAGCGUCUACAAAUAGAGAUACCCAGAUAUUGGGCAUGUGUCUAAUUCUCCAACAGGAUGGGCGUGGGGUAAUUCCCUAUUUACUAUCACCAUCCCAAUACUACAAGUAACCUACAACUACCACUAUCAGUAUUACCACCACUUUAUACCACCAUUAAUAUUACCACCAUCACCACCACUACCACCAUCAAUAUUAGCACCACUACCACCACCCCUCCCAAUGCUACAAACAACGUACAACUACCAUCCCCGAUAUUACCAUCACUAUCUACCACCAUCA